rnacentral:lncRNA from 1 species
AGCCUGUCCUGUGUAAGAAAUACGGAGAAAAGAGGUUUAUAGAUACUUCCAUAUCUGAGAUGGGCUUUACUGCAAUUGCUGUCAGUGCAGCUAUAUUGGGUUGUGGCCCAUUUGUGAAUUUAUGACCUUCAAUUCCUCCAUGCAAGCUAUUGACUAGGUUAUAAACUCAGCAUCCAAGACCUACUAUAUGUCUGGGAGACUCCA